UACGAAGGGGGCUAGCGUUGUUCGGAAUUACUGGGCGUAAAGCGCACGUAGGCGGAUACUUAAGUCAGGGGUGAAAUCCCGGGGCUCAACCCCGGAACUGCCUUUGAUACUGGAGAGCUCGAGUCCGGAAGAGGUGAGUGGAACUGCGAGUGUAGAGGUGAAAUUCGUAGAUAUUCGCAAGAACACCAGUGGCGAAGGCGGCUCACUGGCCCGAUACUGACGCUGAGGCACGAAAGCGUGGGGAGCAAACAGG
rnacentral:rRNA from 1 species